rnacentral:rRNA from 1 species
ACGAACGCUGGCGGCAUGCCUAACACCUGCAAGUCGAACGAGACCUUCGGGUCUAGUGGCGCACGGGUGCGUAACGCGUGGGAACCUGCCCUUAGGUUCGGAAUAACUCCCCGAAAGGGGUGCUAAUACCGGAUAAUGUCUUCGGACCAAAGAUUUAUCGCCUUUGGAUGGGCCCGCGUUGGAUUAGCUAGUUGGUAGGGUAAAAGCCUACCAAGGCGACGAUCCAUAGCUGGUCUGAGAGGAUGCUCAGCCACACUGGGACUGCGACACGGCCCAGACUCCUACGGGAGGCAGCAGUGGGGAAUAUUGGACGCUGGGCGAAAGCCUGAUCCAGCAAUGCCGCGUGAGUGAUGAAGGCCUUAGGGUUGUAAAGCUCUUUUACCCGGGAUGAUAAUGACAGUACCGGGAGAAUAAGCUCCGGCUAACUCCGUG